rnacentral:rRNA from 1 species
GAUGAACGCUGGCGGCGUGCUUAACACAUGCAAGUCGAACGAAGCACCUCUCCCGAAGAUUGACUCAGCUUGCCGUCGAUUGAGUCAUUUGAGGGGACUGAGUGGCCGUCGGGGGAGUAACUCGUGGGUAACCUGCCGCACAGAUGGGGACAACAGUUGGAAACGACUGCUAAUACUGCAUAGUAAGAAGAAUUCGCAUGUUUUCUGCUUGAAAGAUGUAUCGCUAUGAGAUGGACCCGCUCCUGACUAGCUAGGUGGUAAAGUAACGGCCUACCAAGGCGGCGAUGCGUAGCCCAUCUGAGAGGGAGAUUCGCCACACUGGUACUGAGACACGGUCCAGACUCCUGCGGUAGGCAGCAGUAGGGAAUCUUCCGCAAGGGGCGAAAGGGUGACAUAGCAACGUCGCGUGAGUGAUGAAGGUCUGCGGACCGUAAAACUAUGUUAUUAUUGAAGAUCAAAUGUGUAAGUAACUAGGCAGGUCUUGACGGUACCUAAUCAGAAAGCCCCGGCUAACUACGUG